rnacentral:lncRNA from 1 species
AAGAACAGCACUUAAGGUGUUAGAAUGUGGUUUCUAUUGGCCUACCAUCUUUAGGGAUGCUAGAACAUUUUGCAUGUCUUGUGAUAGAUGCCAAAGAACGGGCAAUAUUGGUCCUAAACAACAAAUGCCGCAAACCCCCAUUUUUAGUGUUGAAAUCUUUGAUGUUUGGGGUAUAGAUUUCAUGGGUCCUUUCCCUCCAUCUUUUGGUUUCACUUAUAUCUUGCUAGCUGUUGAUUAUGUUUCCAAAUGGGUGGAAGCCAAAAAAGCCACCCGAACUAACGAUUCAAAGGUUGUUGCAGAUUUUGUGAAAACUAAUAUCUUUGCUAGGUUUGGCAUGCCUAGAGUUCUCAUUAGUGAUGGAGGCUCUCACUUUUGUAAUCAAACCAUUGAAGCUUUGCUCAAGAAGUACAAAGUGACGCAUAAGGUAUCCACCCCUUAUCAUCCUCAAACCAAUGGGCAAGCGGAAGUUUCAAAUCGGGAGAUCAAGCAAAUUCUUGAGAAAACCGUAGGGCCUUCAAGGAGAGAUUGGAGUUUGCGCUUGGACGAUGCAUUGUGGGCCUAUCGUACGGCCUACAAAACCCCUCUAGGUAUGUCACCUUUUCGUCUCAUUUAUGGUAAACCAUGUCAUUUGCCCGUUGAAUUGGAACAUAGGGCGCAUUGGGCUGUGAAGACCUUCAACAUGGACAUAGAUGCAGCCGGGGUGCAUAGAAAGCUCCAACUAAAUGAACUCGAGGAGAUUAGGCAUGACGCUUAUGAGAACGCUCGAAUUUACAAGGACAAGACCAAGGCGUAUCAUGACAAGAUGCUUCGUACCAAAACAUUCUCCAAGGGACAGAAAGUGCUCCUAUUUGACUCUCGCCUUCGGUUAUUCCCCGGUAAGUUACGUUCCAAGUGGAUUGGGCCAUUUAUUGUUACUAAUGUCUUUCCUCAUGGUGCAGUCCAAGUCCAAAGCUUGAAAACAGGACAUGAAAUCAAGGUUAAUGGGCAUCGAUUGAAGCCCUAUUACGACCUGUUUGAGGAGCAUGUGGUGGAGGAUCUAUCCCUCCAUGCCGUGGGCACCAAAGAUCAUUGAUGAAUGAUAGACGUCCGGCUGCACGACGUUAAAGAAAGCGCUUCUUGGGAGGCAACCCAUGGAAAUAGAGAAGACCUAGGAAUUUCCGACUCCAAAACCAGGUGUUUGCGUUCUUUAACCCUCCUCUCUGUUGCUUUUACUUUGCCAUAUUUAUCAUGUUUCCUCGUUGUUUGUUUGUUUGCUUUUUUGUGAGUUUAUGUUUGAAACAUUGAGGACAAUGUUAGAUUUAAGUGUGGGGGGGUAAACAAGUUGCUGUUGCAUGAUUUUCGUGGGUUUUUAUUCACCUAUCACUUACAAUGUUGUUUCUUGCUGUUUUAAGUGUUUUUAGUGUGUUUUUAAGCAUGUUAGUAUGUUUUGACAUAAAAAUCCGAAAAUUUGACAAAAAUAAAAAAAAAAUAAAAAAUAAAAAUAAAAAAAUAAAAAAAAUUGUUUUGAAAAAGCCAAAAAGAGUUGUUUUUGUGUGUUUGUUUGUGUCUUAGGGUACCUUCCAACACAAAUAAUGAGGAUUUGGUUUUUAAUUGCAUGACUGUUAAAGAAAGUUAUAAACAUGGAUGGAAGUUUGAUAUGCUCUUGAUUUAUGCUUGGUUAUAGUUAUAGUUUACGAAUUCACAUGUAAUCACAAAAAAAAAAAAAAAAAAAAAAAAAAAUCAGUUUUUGUAACAUGCUUGAAGGAAGGAACUCAAACUAACACUACAACCUUGAGAGACUUGAGCCUAAUACGUUCUUUGGAGAGUUAUUAAUCUGUGCAUUUUUGUUUUCUAAAGUCGUUGCAUGAUCUCAUCAUUCUUUGCCUGGUUGCUACUUAGAAGGCGUUUCAUCAUUUAGUUCCAAAUACUAGAACUUAUGCCCGUUCCAUUCAAAGCAUGACAUUGAUUUGCAUAACACAUAUUCAAGAUGAAGUUCUGUAGUGAACUAGAGCCAAAAAGCUUAUCCUGUGCAUAUUUGUUUAAGUUUAACCCCGUUGAGCCUUGUUUAGCCUGUUUUCUUUGUUAAACCACAUUUCCCUUACCUAGCCUAGAUUAGGACUAUCCUUACCCUUGUUUUUAAAGCAUAAUGAAGCAUGACUUAAAAUGAAUUCCUUUUGAUUGUCCUUAUGCAGAAAACAAGUGUGGGGGAAUGAGAGUUUUGUGUUUAGUGUGCCAAAAGAAAGUAAUAAGGCACGGGUUAAAAAAAAAAAAAAAAAAAAAAAAAAAAAAAAAAAAAAAGAGUUUGAAAUAAGUGAGGAAAGGCUCACAAGUGUUGUUUGUUGUAGAAAGGGUCCAAAAAGUUGAAAUCGGCCCUAAAAAGUUGAAUGAAUAACCCCAUUGUGUUUAAAGUUAGUUGCUGCAUUCAAAAGGAAUUCUAAGCAUCAAUUUCAUUACUUUGCUUAUUAUGCUUUAAAAAACGUUUGUUUCCUUACCUUUCAUUGUUAGCCAAUCACCCCUAACCCCGUUACAACCCUUAACUUCAAUCUUGAGUGUUAUGUGUUUCAAUAUGUGGAGUUUGGGAUUGGUACGAGCAUAUGGUAUCCCUGGUUCUCGCAUCUAAGUAGUAGCAUUCCAGUCAUGAGAUCAUAUCUAUACAUGCUUAAUAACUCCAGAAAUUGCUUUCUUUGCUUUAAACAUAUGUGAGUGUUCGUUUUCAUGUUUACAUCAAUCUUCUCACAUCCAGAAAUUGCUUUCUUUGCUUUAAACAUAUGUGAGUGUUCGUUUUCAUGUUUACAUCAAUCUUCUCACAUCCAGAAAUUGCUUUCUUUGCUUUAAACAUAUGUGAGUGUUCGUUUUCAUGUUUACAUCAAUCUUCUCACAUACACCUAGUGUAGGGUGUGUAGUCAGAAAUUCAGAGUGAAAAUAAGAGUGUAUCUUGUAAGGAAUUGAGCAAAUUCUCUAAGGCAUGUUACUACAUUCAAAACAUCGUUUUAAUUGGUUAUAUGUGAACUAGUAUAUGGUGACUAUGAUUAAGUAUGUGCUCAAGGGUAGGGAAGGCCAAAAUAUGUGGUUAUGAUGAUCUUUUGCAUGUCAUGUUGCAUUGAAAAUCCCUAAGGUAAAUGUUGGAAGGUUUAGGUUUUGUUUUUUUUUUUGUUUCUUGUUUUUUGCUCGAGGACAAGUAAAAGCUAAGUGUGGGGGAAUUUGAUAGGAGCAUAUUUAUGCGACUUAGUAUGUUUGUUUUCGUGCAUUUAUGUUCUUAGUUCUUAGUUAUGUUAGUAGUUUAAGCCAUUUUUGUGUGUUUGUAGGUUCUAUGGGCCAAGGAUGCAAGAAGAUGCAUUUUGGAGCACUUUGGAGCAUUUUUGGGCCAAGAUUGGAUGGUGCAAACAUGGAGACAUGAGGAUGGACGAAUUUGAUGAUUCAAUGGGCUAGAAAUCUACAUGUGUGUGUGCAAAGUGUUGGCCUACAACUUCAAACAUCAUAGCUGCCAUGUGAUGGCAGAAAAUGUGUUUAUUGCUAGCUAAAUGGAUGAAGAACAUGCAUGUGCAAGUAUAAACACCACAUGGGCAGCAAGAAGGAAAGAAAACAGCAACACACACACCACAUGGGCAGCAAGGAAUCAGAAAUUAAAGCAUGGAAGAGUGGGAAGUGAUGAUGACAACACAAACACACACACACGGCAAUGGAAUGGAGUUGGCAGAUUUCUACAACUUUGAUCAGCUGACUUUGGGAGCAAAUUGCGAACAGUUCAGAAUGAAUUAGAGAAUGAGCCUUAUAUGCUUGGAAAGCUACAGAUGUCUAUUUUCUAGAACAUUUCGCGGAUUGUUAAUAUCAUUUUUCUAGAAGAAGUUAUAGGCAUUUGAGUAAGGGAAGGUCUAGCUGACGACAACUUGCAGAUUGGAAUUGAAAGCAAACAAAAGAAAAGAAAUAAAACAAGGGGAGUGAAUGGACAGCAGAAAAGCAAGGAAAUUGGACCACUAUGAAGUGGAUUUCUUGUUGGUCUCCCACUUAUAGCUUUGGGUGGCUUUGGUAUGAUUAUUUCUAGGUGGAAAGAGCACAAAGACAGCACACACACACAAGGCAAAAAGCUGGCAGCAUCUUCCUUCAUUGCCGUGGGUUUUUUUUCCCUUGUCCAUUACCUUGCAAUUGCUUGACAUUUCCAACCUCUAUAUAAGCACCAUUCAGCCUUCAAGGAUGAGACAGCCAUUCAUACACAUUUCCAUUAGUUCCAAGGCUUGCAAAGAAGGAGGAGUGCUUGGAGUUGUGCUAGCCAUUCCAUUGGAGUUGUUGGAGCAUUCUAGGUGUCUUCUACUUUGUUUCUCUAUGUUUAAUAUCAAUUGUUUUUGUUUAAUUGCAAGUAUGAGGAACUAAACCCUUACUUAGCUAGGGUGAAGUUCGAAGCCAUGAACAUGUUUGAGAUAUGAAUUGAUUUUCUUCCAAUUGUGAUUUAAUAAGUUGUGAAUGCAAUUCAAUUAACUACUUUCUUCAAAACUAAUUCGUGUAUGUUGAUUAAGGAUGCAUACUUAGUUUUCAUGCAUGAAUUUGAUGCUAGGAUAUAAAUGAGUUUCACCUAAUCGUUACAAGUUUAUAUUCAUUGGUAGUGAAGGUUGCUAGUCACAAUCGCGUUAAUUGAAUUCUUGGCAAACGUAUCAUGCAUUCAUAGUUACGAAUGCCUCGUUAACACUUAUGAUUUUCAUAGAACGUAAUGAUCUUUAAUUGUAUCUCUAUUAUGCAUUCAUGUAGAGGACUUUUGGAGAAUAAUUUGGAUUGUCGUAUGCAUUCAUCCAAUUCAAUAAAUCAAGGAAAAUCUGAGAAUUAAUUAGUGCAUCACGGUUAAUCUGGGGUGUUGAGUUUCAUAAUCUAUUGAAAAGCAAUUGGAAAUCAAUUCAUGUACAAGUGUGUCAUGUGUGAAGAAUGGAUCUCUAGCUAAUCCAUCAACCAUCUAUUUAGUUUUACUUUUUGUUGUUAUCUCAAUCUCAUCCAAACCAAUACCUCCCAUUUACUUUCUUGUAUCGAAGUGUGUUUAAGUUUGUUUAGUUUGUGCCUUAAAGUGUUUUGAACUCUUUGAGUCUAGUUUAGUGUUUUAAAACCUACUUUUGUGUUUUUAAGUUUCUUCUUAUAUUCUUGAGUCUUAUAUUUGUUGAUUAGCAUCCCUAGUUAAUCCCCGGUCUAGAACGAUCCCUACUUGCAUCAUUACUACAAUUGUCAUCAAUAGGGUUUAAUUUGUGUGUCAAGUAAUUCUCACAUCAAAGAGAAAAAAGAAAAUAUCUCUCUAAAACACCCAAAGGCCGGCCACCAUUAGGGAGUGUGAGCUAAUCAUCUUAUCUCCCUUUUGGUCAUUCCUCCAUCCAUCUCACUACACUAGUGGGUGUGGAUCUUUAGAGGUCUUCUACUUUGGAGACUAAAGGAGAACCAAAGGAGCACUCAUACUAACAAAGUGGAGGAGGCAAGGAGGGAGGCUAGGCUCAAGGAGUUCAAGGGACAAAGGGCUUGGAGGUGGUCCAUCCUUGGUCUAAAAUCUAGAUUAAGAGGUAUAGAUCUAUUCCUACACUUUGUUCUUAACUUAAAUGUUUUGAUGCAUCAUAUAUAAACCUAUGAACCUUGAAGGGGAUUUGCAUGACUAUAGCUUUGAUAUUAUGUGAUAAUUGCUUCCGUUGUUUUCGUAUAUAAAAUUUGAUUUGUAUAUGCAUGCUAGUCUUUUUGAAAUCCCAUAUGAAAAUCUCAUAGAUUUCCCUUCAACAUUGUCGGCACCGGAAACUGGGCAAUUUUUCAAACUCCUUAAUCUCGCUCAUUUCUUCAUCAAAGCUUAUGAAAUUUAAACCAAAACAAAGCUAAAGACAAGUAGAAACAUAAUAUAACACUUUGGAUCCUUGAAAUUCACGUGAACAUGUCGGAAAUUACCUCGACUUUCCGGCCAAAUUUAAAACUUGUCGAUCUCCAGUUUCCGACGUCCAAAAUCCUCAAACAAACUAUCCCUAGCCUCCUAGGGACAUCACAAAGCUUCCUAUAAGCUUCAAAUUCCAUAAAAACAAGUCAUAAAUUUUUGCAUGAACAGUACUUCAUUCGGGGUUAGGGUUUUCACGUGAUUUCGAAGUAGUUCUUACCUGUAAGUGGUAUGGAUGUGCUCGUCUGAGCUUCAUGAACACAAUGGUGUCAUUUUCCACUUCGAUCUGUUGCGUUUGCAAAGGUUUUGGUUGACGUUUGUACGUAGAAGGGAGAGAGAGAGAACCGAGAGAGAGAGAGUACAGGAUUGAGAAAGAGAAGGUAUGUGUGUGGUUCAAAAGCCACCAAUCAAAACCAAUAAUUCCCUUACUUCCAAUUGGGUCCAAAAACUUAGGGAAAAUUAAUAAAUGGGUCCAAAUCCAACUUAAAUCAUACAAUACACUUAACGUCCAAGGGUAAAAUUGUCAUUUCACAUCAUCGAAAAUUAAUUAUUCGGGACGGGCUGUGACAGUCAUUGUUCAAUGAAACGAUUAGCUAACCCUUAUUUUAUGACAAUAAAAAGGAAAACAAAUAUGAUCAGUUAGAAACCAAAUAAAAUUUGACAAAAAAAAUGGAGAUUGCAGGAGGCUGAAAAGGAAGAAGGGAGGAGAUUGGAAAAAAGAUGUGGCAUGUCCAAGUAAGCUGCCACAUAAGGUGGUAUAUAAAUUAUGGUAUAAUAAUAUGAUAAGAAUAACAUUACUCAUUGAUUAUAUUGGAACUGGAUGUACCAGUGGCUUUCUAUAUAUUAAAAUUUUUAUUUCUCAGCAAGAUAGAAGAAAAAAAGUUUUAGAAGAUAUUAUUUUCCUAAUGCAUUUUAAAUGAAAAGUCCUAAAACUUAACCUGCAAGAAAUAUUAAUUUGAAAAUACUUCCACCUUGAUAAGCUAUGGUCGAAAUUUGAGUUAUAAGUGUUUGGUAUUAGUAUGUUAACAUUGUACACCAAUAUAAUAAAAAUUAAUGAUGAUAUUGCACUUAUAGUAGUUCAAUUAUAUUUCUCUUAAAGAUAUGAAAUUGUUGAUGCACAAAAUCAGCAAGGACUUUGGUACAACAGAAAGUGUUAAGUUUGUGACCUUCGCUAGAUUGCUCCGGUCACUAGUGUGGAUAAGUAAGUAAAUGGAUAGGGACAGGGAAGCAAACAUAAGAUGUAUGUGGUUCACCUAGAUUGGCUACGUUCACGGAGUAGAGGAGUUCUCAUUAAUUGUGAAGGGUUUACACAAGUACAUAGGUUCAAGCUCUUCUUUA